AAAAAGGGAAAGAAACAAAAAGAAGAAGACUAAAAAAAGGAAAGAAUAAAAAAGAAUUUUUUGGUUCCUGAGGCUCCAGUG
rnacentral:ribozyme from 1 species